UUGCAGCCAUAUCAUGUUGAAACACCAGUUCUCAUACAAUUACCAAAGUUAAGCAAUGUCAAGCCUGGUUGGUACCUUGAUGGGUGACCACUUGAGAAUAUCGUG